rnacentral:rRNA from 1 species
GCCAGCAGCCAUAUCACUCUGCAACUCACAACUGGCAACCCACUGAAGCUAAGCAGGUGUGAGCCUGGUCAGUACCUGGAUGGAGACGCCCUGGGAAAAACUAAGAUUGCUGCUGGAA